AGCCUACGGGAGGCAGCAGUGAGGAAUAUUGGUCAAUGGCCGAGAGGCUGAACCAGCCAAGUCGCGUGGGGGAAGACGGCCCUACGGGUUGUAAACCUCUUUUGCCGGGGAGCAAAGUGCCGCACGUGUGCGGUUUGGAGAGUACCCGGAGAAAAAGCAUCGGCUAACUCCGUGCCAGCAGCCGCGGUAAUACGGAGGAUGCGAGCGUUAUCCGGAUUUAUUGGGUUUAAAGGGUGCGUAGGCGGACGCUUAAGUCAGCGGUAAAAUUGCGG
rnacentral:rRNA from 1 species